rnacentral:rRNA from 1 species
GACGAACGCUGGCGGCGUUCUUAACACAUGCAAGUCGAACGGUAAGGCCCUUCGGGGUACACGAGUGGCGAACGGGUGAGUAACACGUGGGUGAUCUACCCUGCACUUCGGGAUAAGCCUGGGAAACUGGGUCUAAUACCGGAUAGGACCACUGCCUGCAUGGGUGGUGGUGGAAAGCUUUUGCGGUGUGGGAUGGGCCCGCGGCCGAUCAGCUUGUUGGGGGGGUUAUGGCCUACAGAUGCUACGAGGGGUAGCCGGCCUGAGAGGGUGACCGGCCACACUGGGACUGAGAUACGGCCCAGACUCCUACGGGAGGCAGCAGUGGGGAAUAUUGCACAAUGGGCGCAAGCCUGAUGCAGCGACGCCGCGUGAGGGAUGACGGCCUUCGGGUUGUAAACCUCUUUCAGCACCGACGAAGCGCAAGUGACGGUAGGUGCAGAAGAAGGACCGGCCAACUACGUGCCAGCCGCCGCGGUAA